rnacentral:rRNA from 1 species
GAUGAGCGCUGGCGGCGUGCCUAAUACAUGCAAGUCGAGCGGUAAGGCCCCUUCGGGGGUACACGAGCGGCGGACGGCUGAGUAACACGUAGGAAUAUACCCCAAAGUGAGGGAUAACUGCUCGAAAGAGUAGCUAAUACCGCAUGUGAUCUAAGGAUUAAAGCUUUAUGCGCUUUGGGAAUAGCCUGCGUUCGAUUAGCUAGUUGGUAGUGUAAUGGACUACCAAGGCGAUGAUCGAUAGCUGGUCUGAGAGGAUGAUCAGCCAGACUGGGACUGAGACACGGCCCAGACUCCUACGGGAGGCAGCAGUAGGGAAUUUUCCACAAUGGGCGAAAGCCUGAUGGAGCAACGCCGCGUGCAGGAUGAAUGCCUUCGGGUUGUAAACUGCUUUUAUUAGUGACGAUUAUGACGGUAACUAAUGAAUAAGGGUCUGCUAACUACGUGCCAGCCGCCGCAGUAAAAC